GACGAACUGUCCUACCGUUGUUCGGAAUCACUGGGCUUAAAGGGCGCGUAGGCGGUCCGCCAAGUCAGGGGUGAAAUCCUGCAGCUUAACUGUAGAAGUGCCUCUGAUACUGGCGGUCUUGAGGGAAAUAGGGGUGUGCGGAACUUCCAGUGGAGCGGUGAAAUGCGUUGAUAUUGGAAGGAACGCCGGAGGCGAAAGCGGCGCACUGGAUUUCUUCUGACGCUGGGGCGCGAAAGCUAGGGGAGCAAACGGG
rnacentral:rRNA from 1 species